UAGGGAAUCUUCGGCAAUGGACGAAAGUCUGACCGAGCAACGCCGCGUGAGUGAAGAAGGUUUUCGGAUCGUAAAACUCUGUUGUUAGAGAAGAACAAGGACGUUAGUAACUGAACGUCACCUGACGGUAUCUAACCAGAAAGCCACGGCUAACUACGUGCCAGCAGCCGCGGUAAUACGUAGGUGGCAAGCGUUGUCCGGAUUUAUUGGGCGUAAAGCGAGCGCAGGCGGUUUCUUAAGUCUGAUGUGAAAGCCCCCGGCUCAACCGGGGAGGGUCAUUGGAAACUGGGAGACUUGAGUGCAGAAGAGUAGAGUGGAAUUCCAUGUGUAGCUGUGAAAUGCGUAGAUAUAUGGAGGAACACCAGUGGCGAAGGCGGCUCUCUGGUCUGUAACUGACGCUGAGGCUCGAAAGCGUGGGGAGCAAACAGG
rnacentral:rRNA from 1 species